GACGAACGCUGGCGGCGUGCUUAACACAUGCAAGUCGAACGGAAAGGCCCUGCUUUUGUGGGGUGCUCGAGUGGCGAACGGGUGAGUAACACGUGAGUAACCUGCCCUUGACUUUGGGAUAACUUCAGGAAACUGGGGCUAAUACCGGAUAGGAGCUCUUGCUGCAUGGUGGGGGUUGGAAAGUUUCGGCGGUUGGGGAUGGACUCGCGGCUUAUCAGCUUGUUGGUGGGGUAGUGGCUUACCAAGGCUUUGACGGGUAGCCGGCCUGAGAGGGUGACCGGCCACAUUGGUACUACGGGACGGCCCAGAAUCCUACGGGAGGCAGCAGUGGGGAAUAUUGCACAAUGGGCGGAAGCCUGAUGCAGCAACGCCGCGUGCGGGAUGACGGCCUUCGGGUUGUAAACCGCUUUCGCCGGUGACGAAGCGUGAGUGACGGUAAUGGGUAAAGAAGCACCGGCUAACUACGUG
rnacentral:rRNA from 1 species